rnacentral:rRNA from 1 species
AGUGAACGCUGGCGGUAGGCCUAACACGUGCAAGUCGAACGGCAGCACAGUAAUAGCUUGCUCUUACGGGUGGCGAGUGGCGGACGGGUGAGGAAUACAUCGGAAUCUACUUUUUCGUGGGGGAUAACGUAGGGAAACUUACGCUAAUACCGCAUACGACCUACGAGUGAAAGCAGGGGAUCUUCGGACCUUGCGCGAUUGAAUGAGCCGAUGUCGGAUUAGCUAGUUGGCGGGGUAAAGGCCCACCAAGGCGACGAUCCGUAGCUGGUCUGAGAGGAUGAUCAGCCACACUGGAACUGAGACACGGUCCAGACUCCUACGGGAGGCAGCAGUGGGGAAUAUUGGACAAUGGGCGCAAGCCUGAUCCAGCCAUACCGCGUGGGUGAAGAAGGCCUUCGGGUUGUAAAGCCCUUUUGUUGGGAAAGAAAAGCAGCAGGUUAAUACCCCGCUGUUCUGACGGUACCAAAAGAAUAAGCACCGGCUAACUUCGUG